rnacentral:lncRNA from 1 species
CGCGCACGCCGCGAGCCGCUGGCGCCCGGGCUCCGCUCGAAUCCCAUGCAACAGCCAGGAUGUGAAGCGGGGCAGAGCCGGGGGAGCCCAGCCCAGCCAGCCUCCAGAAUGGGGACACGUCUUGCUGCGGCACGGGGAUUAAACGGUGUCACGUGGAUAAGCCCUCGACGGCCGGUUGCACGAACAGGGGCUCGGCGCCUGUGCCCUCCUACCCGUCAUCUCCAUGAGGAGAAGUUGGAGGGAGGUGAGGAUCCCCCCAAACCUUCAAUUUCCCAGACGACCGCAACAGGGAGACACUGCCCAGACAGGUGUGGGAUCCCCCAGCUACAUGCCUGGGCCUCCGGCUUCGCUCCUGUUUUCUCCUUUCACCCUGAGAACGGCCCCCAAAGUGGCAGCCGUUGCC